rnacentral:rRNA from 1 species
AGCUUUAAGUUUUAUUUAAGGUGAUGCCUGCCCAGUGCUGAUAGUAAACGGCCGCAGUACCUUGACUGUGCUAAGGUAGCAUAAUCAGUUGGCUUUUAAAUGGAGUCGGGAAUGAAUGGAUUUAUGGGGUGAAACUGUCUCCUUUAUAUUAUAUUGAACUUACUCAAUAGGUGAAAAUGCCUAUAAAUAGAAAAAAGACGAGAAGACCCUAGGAGUUUUUACUAAAUGUUAAAUUUCAUAUUAACUGUUGUUUUUGUUGGGGCGACAAGGGAGCAUUAAGAAUAAACCUCCUCUUUUAAUUUGCCGACAUAGUAUGAGAAAAUAAACUACCCUAGGGAUAACAGCGUAAUUCUUAAGAGCUUGCGACCUCGAUGUUGGACUAGGAAUUUGGUAGGCUAGCCGCCUAUUUAUAUUGUUCUGUUCGAACUGUUUUUCCUACAU